rnacentral:snoRNA from 1 species
GAGCAAUGAUGAAAAGUUUUACUACUGACCUCUUUGUAACUAUGAAUUUGACCUGAGCUAA